GAUGAACGCUAGCUACAGGCUUUACACAUGCAAGUCGAGGGGAAACGACAUCGAAAGCUUGCUUUUGAUGGGCGUCGACCGGCGCACGGGUGAGUAACGCGUAUCCAACCUGCCCACCACUUGGGGAUAACCUUGCGAAAGUAAGACUAAUACCCAAUGAUAUCUCUAGAAGACAUCUGAAAGAGAUUAAAGAUUUAUCGGUGAUGGAUGGGGAUGCGUCUGAUUAGCUUGUUGGCGGGGUAACGGCCCACCAAGGCAACGAUCAGUAGGGGUUCUGAGAGGAAGGUCCCCCACAUUGGAACUGAGACACGGUCCAAACUCCUACGGGAGGCAGCAGUGAGGAAUAUUGGUCAAUGGACGAGAGUCUGAACCAGCCAAGUAGCGUGCAGGAAGACGGCCCUAUGGGUUGUAAACUGCUUUUAUAAGGGAAUAAAGUGAGUCUCGUGAGACUUUUUGCAUGUACCUUAUGAAUAAGGACCGGCUAAUUCCGUG
rnacentral:rRNA from 1 species